AUAUCUCCUUAAGGCCACUCAGAGAGUCUGCUGAGCUCACACAUGUAAAACACUUCAUAGGUUGUAAGUGCUCCUGAGACACUGGGGACACCUGCGUUUGUCCCUGGCUCUCUGUCCUCUUCUCGUCUCUGUUCCCUGAGAGCACAGGCUCUGUCUGCAUGUCCUCCAGUUCUGCAGGGGCCCAGGGUGGUAUCCGGGAGGGCCCUGCUGGGCUGGUCCUGUCCCAGAGCCCCUCACAACUGUGCUUCCUGGGAUGGGGGCUUCUUCCAGGCCUAGAACCUCCAGCGCUGGAGUGCAUGGAAAAAGACCACGUGGAGCCAGAUCAUGUGAGCGAGGACAGUGCUGGCAAGAAUGAGAAGAGUGACAAGAGCACCAGUGUGAAGCGCAGGCUGAGCUGCCUCCGCAGUCGCGUGACCAGGCAGAAGGAGAAGGUGAGGGAAGCUGAGCCGCGGGGUUCCCCUCUGCCUUCCCCAGCUUGGCAUGCUGCCCUUAGCCCAGGAGUCCUGUGAUUGGAGCUGGCGGUGGGCUGAGGGCCCAGUACCUACCAGGCACAGUCGUUCACGCCUGUGAUCCCAGCACUUUGGGAGUCUAAGGCGGGUGGUUCACCUGAGGUCAGGAGUUCGAGACCAGCCUGGCCAACAUGGUGAAACCCUGUCUCUACUGAAAAUACAAAAAUUAGAUGGGUGUGGUGGUGGGCAUCUGUAAUCCCAGCUACUUGGGAGGCUGAGGCAGGAGAGUGGCUUGAACCCGGGAGGCAGAGGUUGCAGUGAGCCAAGAUUGUGCCACUGCACUCCAGCUGGAUCUUAAAAAGAGAGAGAGAGAGAGAGGGCCGGCCCCUGCAGAGGGCAUCCUAGCAUCCUGAGACCCACCUCUGUCCCAUCCAGGCAAAGAGCCCAGCACAUCUAAAGGAGAAGGGCCAGGAUGCCCGAGAGAGGCGGGAGUGUGUCAAUGGGCAUCAGCUGGUACAGGGGACCUUCUCCAGCCCCUCCAGCUGCCCCCUGUGUGGCAAACCCUUCUUGAGCUCAGGUAAGUCUGGUGGCCCAAUCCAUCGUCCU
rnacentral:lncRNA from 1 species